CAGAUCUAUGGAAUAGAUACUAAUAUAUAAUAGCUGGAUCUUCUGUAUUGAAUGCUAGAUGGGUAUUUGUGUGCUGGUAAUCUUAUUUGACAAGUCCAGAGAAAAAGAAUUAUAUCACUCCUCACUAAAUGCAAUUCUGGUGAUGCUUUCUUAUUCCUGAGAGCAAGUGAGGAUGGAGCCAAGAUCUGGUAAAUACUGGGCUUGAAGACCCAGGGGACAGGCUGGAGAUUUGGAAUUGCUGAGGACAGAGAACCAGAACCAAAUUCCUUGUCCAGAGCCCAGUUACUGAAAGGAAAGGGCCUAGAAAUGACACAGUUUCACCAGGAUCAAAGACCGUGGCACCAGCCAGGUCAAACAGAGGGACAAAUUGGCAGGAUUUUCUAUUUAAAAGGUGAAUCUUGGGCUUCCCUGAUGGCGUAGUGGUUGGGAGUCCGCCUGCCGAUGCGGGGGACACGGGUUUGUGCCCCGGUCCGGGAAGAUCCCACAUGCCGCGGAGCAGCUGGGCCCAUGAGCCAUGGUCGCUGAGCCUGUGCGUCCGGAGCCUGUGCUCCGCAACGGGAGAGGCCGCAACAGUGAGAGGCCCGUGUACCGCAAAAAAAAAAAAAAAAAAGGU